rnacentral:lncRNA from 1 species
AUUUAAUUCUCAUGUUUAUUGUGUGAAACAAAUGAGUUACUGACUAAAAAGAAAAAAGCAAAACUGCUAUUUGACUUUGGAAUAAAUCAGGCAAACCCAUCCUCUUUAUUUUUAUCAAGAUUUAGGCAUGACAGAAAAAUAAAUUUUAAUAAGAAAAACAAAAUAUUAUAUUUAAAAAAUGCUAUGAACAAAAGAGAAUCUGAUAGUCACAGUGAUUAGCAUGUAGGAUAUGCAGUAUAAGACAUUACCUAAGCCAUUGAACAUUUAUAGGCUUAACACCUAAGAAUUUAAAGUGACUGUAUCAAAGAUUCAUUGAAUAAAAAAUAAUUGCUCCUUUUAAAAGAUUAUGUUUUUAAUCAAAAUAUAAUCAUUGCAUGUAUUUGUUGGCUACAAUGUCUUUUUUUUUUAAUAUUUUUUUAGAUGGAGUCUCUCUCUGUCGCCUAGGCUGGAGUGCAGUGGCAUGAUCUCGGCUCACUGCAAGCUCCGCCUCCCAGGUUCACGCCAUUUUUUUUGCAUUUUUAGUAGAGAUGGGGUUUCACCAUGUUAGUCAGGAUGGUCUCGAUCUCCUGAUCUCAUGAUCUGCCCGCCUUAGCCUCCCAAAGUGCUGGGAUUACAGGCAUGAGCCACCAUGCCUGGCCACGAAUAAAAAAGAGCAAUUGAAAUUGCUAUCCUCAAGGAAAUCACUUCUCAGUGUUCCAUCUGCUAUUCUACUACUCUCAGGGAUUGUUCAGGCCCUCUCCCUUCCCUACACAUCAAGCUUGGGAUUUGCCCCUGCCCAGGACUGGCAAAUUGACUUUACUCACAUGCCCUGAGUCAGGAAACUAAAAUACCUUAUGGUCUGGGUAGACACUUUCACUGGAUGGGUAGAGGCCUUUCCCACAGGGUCUGAGAAGGCCACUGCCGUCAUUUCUUCCCUUCUGUCAGACAUAGUUCCUUGGUUUGGCCUUCCCACCUCUAUACAGUCUGAAAAGGGACAGGCCUUUAUUAGUCAAAUCACCCCAGUAGUUUCUCAGGCUCUUGAUAUUCAGUGGAACCUUCAUACCUCUUACCGUCCUCAAUCCUCUGGAAAGGUAGAACGGACUAAUGGUCUUUUAAAGACACACCUCACCAAGCUCAGCCACCAACUUAAAACAGAAUGGACAGUACUUUUACCUCUUGCCCUUCUCAGAAUUAGAGCCUGUCCUUGAGAUGCUAAAGGGUACAGUCCAUUUGAACUUUUAUAUGGAUGCACUUUCUUGCUUGGCCCCGACCUCAUCCCAGACACCAGCCCUCUAGGCGUCUAUGUUCCAAUCCUCUAGCAAGCUAGACAGGAAAUUUGCCAGGCUGCUAAUCUUCUCUUGCCUACUUCAGAUUCCCAGCCAUAUGAAGACACCAUAGCUGAACAAUCAGUUCUUGUUAAGAAUCUGACCCCUCAAACUCUACAACCUGUGGUGCAUGCCUGUAAUCCCAGCUACUUGAGAGGCUCAGGCAGGAGAAUCACUUAGCCAGGCAUGGUGGCAGGCACCUGUAGUCCCAGCUACUUGGGAGGCUGAGGCAGGAGAAUGGCAUGAACCCCGGAGGUGGAGCUUGCAAUGAGCUGAGAUCGUGCCACUGAACUCCAGCCUAGGUGACAGAGCGAGACUCCAUCUCAAAAAAAAAAAAAAAAAAAAAAAGAAAGAAAUGAUGACAGACAGAAUAGAAUGGGCCUGUGAUGCUGGAAGGAGAUAUUUUCCUUGGUCCAAGAACCAUUUGCCUUGAGUGGGGAGGGAUUGAUAGGUGGAAACUUCAGUGGGAGAGUAAGUAGGAAUGACAGAUGAGAAGGAGAAAAACUGGCCAUGAGGGACAGAAGUAGGAAUACUGGCUGCUUCCUUAGCUGUCUUAUCAGCAUAAUUGUUGCCUUGAGCAAUGGGGUCUGAGGCCCUUUGAUGGCCUUUGCAGUGAAGGACUCCAUCUUCCUUUGGAAGUGUUAUUAUGAAAGAUGCAUUAAUGAUGUAGGACCUUCGCAUAGUGAGGAAACCUCUUCCAACCCAUAUAACAGCAUGGUGGUGCAGGAUAUGAAAGGCAUAUUUAGAAUCAAUAUAAAUAUUCACAUGCAGUCCUUUUGCAAGAGUGAGGGCUUGAAUUAAGGUAAUGAGUUUGGCUUGCUGAGAGGUAGUGGAGGUGGGGCAGAGCAGUAGCUUCAAUGAUAAAUGUGGAAGAUACUAUAGCAUAGCCUGCUUUUGCUGGUGAGUGGUGAUUAGGCCUGGUGGAACUGCCAUUAAUAAACAAAAUGUGAUCAGGGUGAGGAACAGGAAAGAAGGAAAUAUGGGGAAAUGGAGUUAAUGCCAGGUGGAUCAGAGAGAGACAGUCAUGGGGGUCAGGUGUGGUAUCAGGAAUAAUGUGGGAGGCCGGAUUGAAGUCUGGGCCAGGAACAAUGGUAAUUGUAGGACUCAACAAAGAGUGAGUACAGCUGAAGGAGCUGGGGUAGGGGGUGGGGGGGGGGCAGAAAGUAUAUGCAAUAAGUGUAAGAAAAUAGAUUUUGGAAGUUAUGAGAACUGUAGAGAGUGAGUUGAGCAUAGUUUGUGAUUUUGAGGGCCUCUAAAAGUAUUAGAGUGGCAACAGCCACUGCAUGCAGACAUGAAAGACAGCCUAAAACAGUAAGGUCAAGUUGUUUCGACAAAAAGCCUACAGGAUGCAGUCCUGGUCCUUGUGUAAGAAUUCUGACUGCACAGCUCUGCACUUUGGCUGUGUGUAAUAAAAAAUGUUGGGAUGAGUCAGGGAGAGCUAGUGUGGGAGCAAUCUCUAGAGCUGUUUUCAAGGAACGGAAAGAGGAGUGGGGAAAGGAUUUGGGAUCUUUGAGGUCAGCUAGGUUUCCAUUUGUGAGUUUAUAUAAUGGUUUUGUAAUGCCUAACUUUGUUUUUACUAACCUUGUUUUUAGAUUCUCCUUUUUCCUUUAAUCACUUAGCCUUGUUUAUACCUGAAUUGACUCUACUUUAGCUAAGAGAGCCAGACAGACUCCAUCUUGGCUCUUUCACUGGCAGCCCCUUCCUCAAGGACUUAACUUGUGCAGGCUGACUCCCAGCACAUCCAAUAAUGCAAUUAACUGAUAAGAUACUGUGGCAAGCUAUGUCCGCAAUUCCCAGGAAUUCAUCUGAUUGAUAACGCCCAAAGCCCCGAGUCUAUCACUUUGUAAUAGUCUUAAAGCCCCUGCACCUGGAACUGCUUACUUUCCUGUAACCAUUUAUCCUUUUAACUUUUUGCCUACUUUAUUUCUGUAAAAUUGUUUUAACUAGAACCCCCUCCCCUUUCUAAACCAAAGUAUAAAAGAAAAUCUAGCCCCUUCUUCAGGGCCAAGAGAAUUUUGAGCGUUAGCUGUCUCUUGGCCGCUGGCUAAAUAAACGGACUCUUAAUUCUUCUCAAAGUGUGGUGUUUUCUCUAACUUACUCAGGUACAAGAUUUGGAGGCCCCAGUGAGAUAUUAACGCCACUGGGCGAGAGCCUUUCUCGCUCUGGGCUCCCCAGGACAGAUGGCUGGCUUAUAGGGGGAGGUGCCACCUGAAAAAUUUUUUUCAGGUCCCUGAAGGGUGACUGUCUUCCGGAGGAGAGCGGAUCAACUACCGUGUGGGUGCCCUAAAAUUCAACAUCUGAGUCCUCAGCUUCUGACCCCAGGUUCAGGUGUUUAAAUCCAGCUACUAUUCAUGACUGUCAGGAACUGUUAGAAACUACUGAAACUGGCCGACUUGACCUUCAAGAUGUGGCCCUAGAGAAGGCGGACGCCACUGUGUUCACAGACGGUAGCAGCUUUCUCGAGCAGGGAGUACGAAAGGCCGGUGCAGCUGUUACCACGGAGACAAAUGUGUCGUAGGCUCAGGCUUUACCAGCAAACACGUCAGCGCAAAAAGCUGAAUUGAUCGCCCUCACUCAGGUUCUCCGAUGGGGUAAGGAUAUUAACGUUUACACUGACAGCAGGUACGCCUUUGCUACUGUGCAUGUUCAUGGAGCCAUCUACCAGGAGUGCAGGCUACUCACCUCAGCAGGAAAGGCUAUCAAAAACAAAGAAGAAUGCCCUGUCUUCAAAGCCUAACAGAUCAAGCAGCUCUCCGGUGCACAACCUACGCCCAGGUAAAUGCCAAGCAAGGUCCUAAUCCCAGCCCAGGCCACCAUCUCUGAGAAAACUCACCAGAAGAAAAGUAUGAAAUCGGCUUUACAGAAGUAAAACCACGCCAGGAUAAGUACAGAUACCUUCUAGUACUAGCAGACACCUUCUCCGGAUGCACUGAGGCAUUUGCUACCAAAAACGAAACUGCCAGCGCAAUAGUUUUUACUCAAUGAAAUCAUCCCUUGACAUAGGCUGCCUGCUGCCAUAAGGUCUGAUAAUGGACCGGCCUUCACCUCGUCCAUAGCUCAGUCGGUCAGUAAGGUGUUUAACAUUCAAUGGAAGCUCCAUGGUGCCUAUCGACCCCAGAGCUCUAG